GUUGCAUCAGCCCCUGCAGUUUCGGUUUCAAGUAGUACUUCGUUGACAUUAUGCAGCUUCUCAUUGUUUUGUCGAUGAUGCGACCCAACUGGUCCACAGACUUUGCAGUGCUGUUAUGCCGUCGAUCAUUCCUCUCCCUCCAAACUGAGUAUAUAGUGACCUGCAGAACCAGUCGCAGCAAGAUGAAAGUGAUGCGAUCAUACCUCCGUGUGAGCAAGAUCGAAACUGUGAUAUCCCAGUCCAGGUCUGGCUCAUCUCCAAACAAAUUACCCACAACUUUCAGCCACAACGUGUAGGUAUAGGGACAUGCGAAAAACAAAUGCUCCCUGGUCUCAUCCGGUUCACCACAAAACAAGCAACAUUGUGGUUGGCCCCAUUUACUAGUUCGAUGGCCUGUAGCCAGUCUGUCACGGAAAGCUAGCCAGGUAAUGAAAGCGUAGCGGGGAACUCCUUGCGAGAACCACACAAGCUUACUCCAUUGCAGAUUUUCCUUACGCUGUCUGAUCUGGUGCCAAGUACUCGAGGCGAUGAACCUAUCCCCAUAAUCAUCAGGUCCAUUUUUCCACAAAGCCCCAUCAGCAGCCUCAGCAUUUAGUUCGAUGGGAAACUGGUGAAUCGCAUGUACCAGUUGCUGUAAUUGUUGAUCCCG
rnacentral:lncRNA from 1 species